rnacentral:rRNA from 1 species
UACGUAGGGUCCGAGCGUUGUCCGGAAUUACUGGGCGUAAAGCGCACGUAGGCGGUCUUUUAAGUCGGGGGUGAAAUCCUGGAGCUCAACUCCAGAACUGCCUUCGAUACUGGAAGACUUGAGUCCGGGAGAGGUGAGUGGAACUGCGAGUGUAGAGGUGAAAUUCGUAGAUAUUCGCAAGAACACCAGUGGCGAAGGCGGCUCACUGGCCCGGUACUGACGCUGAGGUGCGAAAGCGUGGGGAGCAAACAGGG